GGUGAGCUCUUGGUUUUGACUGUCACGUAACUGCCUGCUGCCUGUGCAGCAUUGGGUUUCUACCACAUGGCCUUUAUAUUAAAUCCGUUCUGCAUCCAUCAAAAGCAUAGUAUAAGGAUAUUGCAUUUCACUGAUUUUCUCAAAUAUCUGUUGCCUCUGUGGAAAGUGCGCUGUAACAUACAUACAUGUGGUGGUUUGCAGUGCGAUCAUCAGCCGCAGCAGAAACGAUUUUAAGAGAGGCCUCUUCAACUUUAUAGCCGCCAUGCCUGCCGCAACUUGGACAACAGGAUAGCAAAUGCACAUCAGCUGCUCACGCAAGAUGUUGAGAGGUUUUGUAACAGCGUGGUGAACCAGUAUUCAAACUUAAGCAAGCUAUUUUUGGAUAUCGUUCUGUAUAUUGUCAAGCUGACAAAUGCUCAGGCUAUAUAGGUUAAGAUCCUUUAACCUGUCCUGGGACCAGCCAGCAUGAUGGCUUACCUACUCGUAGCUGACCUUUUCCUUACACACCUUAGAAGGCCUAUUGGUAAGAUGACAGUAGCCGAGCAGCGGUAUGAAGGUGAAAUACAGAUAUGUUAACUCCCGUCUCAUCAUCAAUAGGUAGUGAAGAAAUGGCCUUUUACAAUGGAAAUAAAAAAAUAAAA